AACUAAUGAACUUGAAUAAGUAUAUAUUUUGAAAAUAUAUAAAAGAAACACGACUUUCUAUUAGUUU
rnacentral:tRNA from 1 species